rnacentral:rRNA from 1 species
AGUGGGGAAUAUUGCACAAUGGGCGCAAGCCUGAUGCAGCCAUGCCGCGUGUGUGAAGAAGGCUUUCGGGUUGUAAAGCACUUUCAGUUGUGAGGAAAGGGUAGUAGUUAAUACCUGCUACCUGUGACGUUAGCAACAGAAGAAGCACCGGCUAACUCCGUGCCAGCAGCCGCGGUAAUACGGAGGGUGCGAGCGUUAAUCGGAAUUACUGGGCGUAAAGCGCGCGUAGGCGGUUAAUUAAGUCAGAUGUGAAAUCCCAGGGCUUAACCUUGGAACUGCAUUUGAUACUGAUUAACUAGAGUUUUGUAGAGGGUGGUAGAAUUUCAGGUGUAGCGGUGAAAUGCGUAGAGAUCUGAAGGAAUACCAGUGGCGAAGGCGGCCACCUGGACAAAGACUGACGCUGAGGUGCGAAGGCGUGGGGAGCAAA